GGUCUGGCGUGCUGCCAUUCAUGGGGUCGCAAAGAGUCAGACAGGACUGAACUGAAUGAGUGGGAGGAUUAUUUCAUCUAUUUGGAGAAGGGGUGGAGAUUUCCAGGAACUGGGCCAUUCCUUGGUCUUUUGACAUGCUUUGAAACUAUUAUGGCGCCUCUGGGUGUGUAUUUAGCUUGCUGACUGAGGAUCAAGGUCUAAUCAAAGUCAACCUGUCUGCCAUCUUGGACCCAUUUGAUUCUAAUUGCUUUAUAUUGUGUCCUUGGGGUAUGUCAUUCUUUCAGAAGUUUUGCCCUGCCCCUUUCCUUCCUGUUACAAGAUAAGCCAACAGCACCUGUCCUGAAGCCUUUGAAAGGGAAAGCAAAGAAAGCUGAGUCUUGAGCCAGGCUUAGUAACCCCACAUGACCUUUCUCCCUCCACCCAAAAUCUAUCUUGGUCAACCCUCUUCCAUUUUAUAAAGUCAAGCCUGAGCAACAAAGUUAAGGAGGUAAAAAAUAAAAAAUUGUAUUAUUGCAAUGUUGAAUUAAAAUGAUCCCACUCAUUGGAACUUCCCUGGUGGUCCAGUGAUUAAAACUUCCAAUACAAGGGGCAUGGGUUUGAUCCAUACUCAAGGAACUAAGAUCCUGAAUGCCAAGGUAUUGCCAAUAGAUAAAUAAUCCCACUCCUUGAGAUGACCUGUUCUUUGAGAUUAUGAUCUGCCCUUUAGCAUGGAUAAUCAAGGACUGACCACAUCUCUUUCUCAGGACACUCUGGUUCCUGAAUCAUCUAUGCAAAUCAAUAAUACCUCCUGGGAUGAAAUCUGUGUCCAACCAACCAAAUCAACCAGAAGACAUCCAGCUUCAGAAACUCUAAGAUCCCAGGCAGGUUGACCACUUAAGUUCUUUCAACUUUAAUUCCAGGGCAGCAGGGGCUGCCAGAGUCCUGGACUGUAGUAACCCACAAACUCAGUCAAAGAAAGUGAACCUGUUAGGAGGGAAAUAAUAACCCAAGAUCACACAGUGAAAUGGGACAUCAAGCCAGGACCUGCAAAUGACACCUCCAGAAAGGCUGCUCCACAAAGUCUUCUAUGAAGCAUCAGCUGCUCCUUAUUUAAGUCUGGGGGAAAAUUUAAUUUGGGAAAAAAAGAAUAGAAACAUAAUUAAAUGAUCUGGCAAGAGAAUAUAAAACCCAGAGGGAACAACUCAUCCCUUUGUGGGUUUUUUUUUUUUUUAGCUGCUUGUGCAUGCACGUGAUUUUUCUUAUUUCUUAUUCCCAAAUGUUCUUUUCUCGUUUCUUUUUUAAAGUCAAAUCUUAAAGCACUGAAGCCCAAACCCUUCAGCACCUGACUUCCUUGGGGCCUGACCUUCCCGUGGUUCUCUCUGCUGGGGGCUGGCCAAACCAUUCAACCCCAUCCUUUUAAUUUUUUAAGCUUUUCUGUUAUGGAAAAUUACAUAUGUAUAUAAAAGUACAAAGCAACUCAAUUCUAAAUGGAAUGACAAAUAAUGCAAAAUGAAAAAGCCUACGCCUAAAGAUGUGUUUUCAUUAGGAAAUCAUUAGCCCAUUUUUCUUCAGCUGCACUGAGGCAGCAUGAACUCAAGACUUGAAGGAAAAUGUCUGUACCCAGUUUUUUCUUCUUCUGAACUUCAUGGCUUUUGGAAAGUCGCUCUGAGGUUUGGUUUCUUUGCUUGCAAAAGGGGAGUGAUCAAGCCAACCUCACAGAAUGGCCGUGACAAUGAAGUGAGAUAAUGUCUGGGAAUAUGUCUUGUAAGUUAUGAAAUGCUCUAAAACUGUGAAGAGCUAUUAUUAAUCUUUCAUAGGACCCUUGGAGCAUCGCCAUGCAAAAGUGCGAUUAAUAUGCUCAGGAAUGUAGACAGAGGUUUGCGGGAGAGAAGCCCACUAUGGCCCCACCUCUGCUCCCACUUGGUCCUAAACUGUUCAUCUUAUGCCACUUUGUUUUUCACCCAUUUGACCUUGUUGCCCUUCUCACUUCAGGGACAAUUUGUCCAUCAACCUUGUCUUCCCAGCUUUCCCAGAUUUCUCUGGUCAACAGUUCUGUUUUUCUAACCAGACUAAACCAACUCAAGAUGCUUUAUUUGGAAUGACCUCUUCAAAGUGGCACCUGUGAUUGUCUUAAUUCCAGCAACAUCUCGACGUGCACCAAGGGAUCAGGACCCAGGCAAGAAGCACUGUGGAUUUAGGAAGGAGGCAGGAAAGGGGAACCCCUCUUGCAGACUCAGCCUCUCUCUUGUAGGUCAAGGAGGAUCCCCACUCUCCUUAGAAGGUGGGUCAAGGACCACCGUGAACAAGAUGAAAUCCAUGACCCCAUGAAGCUGAUAUUCCAGAGAGGGAGCUGACUAUAAAUGAGCAAACAUAUAAAUAAAUAAUAAGCAAAAUAGCAAAGUAAAUAAUAGUUCAAACUGUGAAAGAAAGAAUGCACAGAGAUUAGAGAAAGAGACAGGAUGUGGGGGUGGCUAAUUAAGAUAGAACAGUCAAGGUCACGAGGUGUGAGUGCCCUCCCCAUCCUGCCUUAUCACGAACAAGGAAGCUAAGAACUCCACUUGCUGCUGGCAGCCAUCCCAUACCCUGAAAGGAGCUAGUUACAGGAUGAAGCCAUCACUACAGA